UACGUCAUCUGUCAGACAUCUCCCUUGAUGAGGCUCCUGGCAGUCAUUGCCAAGUUAAUUGUACAAAAGCGGGGUGGUUGUUCCGUGAGUCCUGGGAAUCAACACUUGAGACUGAGGCUAAGAAGAAAGGACACAGCUGGUCUGGUUCCUCCCUGGCAUAGCUCCCAGAAUGUAGAUACUGUGAAGACAGGAUUUUUGCAGUUGUUUUCUACAAUAUCCCUAGGAUCUGAAAUAGUGAUUGGCACACGAUACAGGAUUUACUCUAAACUCCAGCACUGGACAAUUACUAACCCUGGGUAAUACUCCAAAACAAGCAGGACUAAUGAAUGCAUCUGGCAGAGAAACCACCAGCUCCGUCAGCCACUUUAUCCUCAUGGGCUUUCCCUCGAGCCCAGAAAUGCAGCUCCUCUGCUUCGGGCUCUUCUCCGUAGCCUAUACCCUGUCCAUAAUGGGGAAUGCAAUCAUU
rnacentral:lncRNA from 1 species